rnacentral:rRNA from 1 species
AAAUUGAAGAGUUUGAUCAUGGCUCAGAUUGAACGCUGGCGGCAGGCCUAACACAUGCAAGUCGAACGGUAACAGGAAGAAGCUUGCUUCUUUGCUGACGAGUGGCGGACGGGUGAGUAAUGUCUGGGAAACUGCCUGAUGGAGGGGGAUAACUACUGGAAACGGUAGCUAAUACCGCAUAACGUCGCAAGACCAAAGAGGGGGACCUUCGGGCCUCUUGCCAUCGGAUGUGCCCAGAUGGGAUUAGCUAGUAGGUGGGGUAACGGCUCACCUAGGCGACGAUCCCUAGCUGGUCUGAGAGGAUGACCAGCCACACUGGAACUGAGACACGGUCCAGACUCCUACGGGAGGCAGCAGUGGGGAAUAUUGCACAAUGGGCGCAAGCCUGAUGCAGCCAUGCCGCGUGUAUGAAGAAGGCCUUCGGGUUGUAAAGUACUUUCAGCGGGGAGGAAGGGAGUAAAGUUAAUACCUUUACUCAUUGACGUUACCCGCAGAAGAAGCACCGGCUAACUCCGUGCCAGCAGCCGCGGUAAUACGGAGGGUGCAAGCGUUAAUCGGAAUUACUGGGCGUAAAGC